rnacentral:tRNA from 1 species
GGAAGAUUGGCAGAGCGGUAAUGCAGCACCCUGCUAAGGUGUACAACCGAAAGGUUGCAUAGGUUCAAAUCCUAUAUCUUCCGCCA